rnacentral:rRNA from 1 species
AAUCAACGCUGGCGGCGUGCCUAACACAUGCAAGUCGAACGAGAAAGGGUAGCAAUACCUGAGUAAAGUGGCGCACGGGUGAGUAACACGUGACUAACCUACCUUUGAGUGGGGAAUAACCUAGGGAAACCUGGGCUAAUACCGCAUAAUACUUACGAGUCAAAGCAGCAAUGCGCUCGAAGAGGGGGUCGCGGUCGAUUAGUUAGUUGGCGGGGUAAUGGCCCACCAAGACGGUGAUCUGUAUCCGGCCUGAGAGGGCGCACGGACACACUGGAAC